rnacentral:lncRNA from 1 species
GCUAGACUCCCUCUAAAAAAAUCUGUUUAGUUCAGGUUUAGAGAAAGACUUGUUUGGGUUGUCUUCUGGAGAAUGGGUUUAUGAUUUUGACAGUUUAUUUAGAUCAGAACCUUAAGCUGAUUCCAGGUGAGAGUUUCCUGCUGGUGAAAAUUAAGGUCCUGAAGGAGGGAGCAUUUCCACACUGAGGGGACAGGAACUCACAGACUGAUCCCCUCUGGGGCUGCGUUACAGCAGUCAGAACCUGGCUCUUAAGGUUGGGAACGUGAUUCAUUUUCUGAAUGCGGCUUUUCCUUGUGAAGGAGGAUGCUUAUCUGAGCUAGUUAAAAUGUUUGCUGUUCUUCCCAUUUUUUGAAAUGAAGUCUUACUCUGCUGCCCAGGCUGGAGUGCAGUGGCACGAUCUCGGCUCACUGCAACCUCCGCCUCCCGAGUUCAAGUGAUUGUCCUGCCUCGACCUCCUGAGUAGCUGGGAUUACAGGCACGUGCCACCAUGCCCAGCUAUUUUUUUUUUUUUUUUUUUUUUUGAGACAGUCUCUCUCUGUUGCCAGGCUGGAGUGCAGUGGUGUGAUCUUGGCUCACUGCAACCUCUGUCUCCCGGGUUCAGGCAAUUCUACUGCCUCAACCUCCCGAGCUGCUCUGACUACAGGCACGUGCCACCACGCCCAGCUGAUUUUUUUGGUAUUUUUAGUAGAGACAGGGUUUCACCAUGUUGGCCAGGAUAGUCUUGAUCUCUUGACCUUGUGGUCCGCCCGCCUUGGCCUCCCAAAGUGCUAGGAUUACAGGCGUGAGCUACCGCGCCUGGCCUAGUUUUUGUAUUUUUAGUAGAGAAUGGGGUUUCACCAUGUUGGCCAGAGCGGUCUCAAACUCCUGACCUCAGGUGAUCCUCCUACCUUGGCCUCCCAAAGUGCUGGGAUUAUAGGGUGAGCCAUCGCGCCCGGCCCCUUUUGAUUUCUUUACAGAAUAUUGCUGUAGUAUAACUUUUUUCCAUGCACUUAAUUUUUGUUCCCUUGUUGGCAUAUUUCAUUUUCUUCCCUGAAAAUGGGUAGACUGAGAUAAGGUAUGAGGAAGCCUUGGCCAUGCCACCAGCCGCUUAUCCCAAAUUCCUGAUCCCUGGAAGACAUCUGGGCUCUCCCUCCUGUUCCAGCCCAGUAGCUUCCAGCAAAGGUACUGGCUCAAUUGGACACGGAGUGUGGAACUGCCUGCUCACACUUGUGAACCCCCGUCCAGAAGGAAGAAACAGAAAGGGCCCACCUUCCAGAGGCCGAGGUGGCUCCACCACAGCUUCUGUCCGGUGGUGACCAGCACUGAUCUCCGGAGCCAAGGGAGGACCCGGGACACCUGGGAGCCGGGAAAUGUUUUCCAUGGCUCCGAGACAAUGACACCGCUUCAGUGUGAACUCUCAUGAAUUGAGUCUAGAUCCCCAGUGCUGUCCGUCUCACCUGUCCUCCUCUACACAUAUCUGGGAUAUGUCACGGCUUGGUGGUCUUUGAAGAUGUGACUCUGAACUUCAUCCAGAAGGAGUAGGCUUUGCUGGAUUUUUCCGUGAAGAAUCUGUAGAGAUGUGAUGAGGGAAGCCAUCAGCACCUGGCUUCUAUAGCUGCAGCCCAAGAGGCCAACUGGAACGUUAACAUCAGACACUAAUCCAGCUGACUGGACACAAUUGGGAAAACUGGUUAUUUUACCAAGGCUUUAACUGGAAUGGUGUGCCUUCCUUUAAGGAAUCAAAUUUGACUUAUGGAGCCAAUAAAGCCCUUGGAAAGCUGGCCUCAGAUUUCAUGUACAGUCCCUGUACAGGGUUUCCGAUCUGUGAGAUUUUUUAAACUGACAGGAUCAUGGCCAUUUCACAGACAACUACCCAAAAAUAUCUACAGACGGCACUGCUCCUACCAACCCGAUACCAGAGAACUCUCUGUCCCCUCGUCAGCAGGAAGUAGCCAGAAAGAACAUGCCGCCCCUCGUCCUUUUUAUAACUAUGAGGUCUGGAUUGACAGAGCAGAAGCAUCACCAUUGUGGAUAAGCGCCUCAUUUUAAAAUUCACCUUAAUCAAAAACUGCCUAAAUCCAAAGGGCAUCAGCCUAAUGGCUAAGGUCAGCAUGAUCACAAACCACAAAUAACAUCUCCAACCAAAAACAUUCCAGACACCUCCCACAGAGAAAUGCUAGCCUCGGGAUAACCCCUCUCCUGCCGGAAAGAUGUCACCCCCAAGAUAACCACCCCUCCGCCCAGAACAUUCCAACCCUGCCACAAACUUCUCCCCCACACAGAAACAUUCCAAGCUUGUAAUAAGCUCCCUCACCCUAAAACCAACGUACAUUCUUAGUCUGCAAGGAAAAGUGCUCCUGACUGACCAGCCAGAAUCCUCUCUCAGGUCUUUUCUAUAAUAAACCUGUCUUUGACUGUCAA